GACGAACGCUGGCGGCGUGCCUAAUACAUGCAAGUCGAACGAAGCUUUCUUUCACCGAAUGCUUGCAUUCACCGAAAGAAGCUUAGUGGCGAACGGGUGAGUAACACGUAGGCAACCUGCCCAAAAGAGGGGGAUAACACUUGGAAACAGGUGCUAAUACCGCAUAACCAUGGACAUCGCAUGAUGUUCAUGUAAAAGACGGCUUUUGCUGUCACUUUUGGAUGGGCCUGCGGCGUAUUAACUUGUUGGUGGGGUAACGGCCUACCAAGGUGAUGAUACGUAGCCGAACUGAGAGGUUGAUCGGCCACAUUGGGACUGAGACACGGCCCAAAACUCCUACGGGAGGCAGCAGUAGGGAAUCUUCCGGCAAUGGGCGAAAGCCUGACGGAGCAACGCCGCGUGAGUGAAGAAGGUCUUCGGAUCGUAAAGCUCUGUUGUCGGGGACGAAUGUUGAGACCUAGAACAUAGGUUUCAAAUGACGGUACCUGACGAGGAAGCCACGGCUAACUACGU
rnacentral:rRNA from 1 species